GGGAACAGGAAGUUAUAAAGGAAACAGGAAGUUGAGGGUUGUUUCUUUAAUCUUCAAGGCUGCCCACAGCAGGCAGCAACAGCAAUGUGCAGCUCCUGCAAUAUUGAAAGACAAUGUUUCGAUUUAGUUUGGACCAACAAAGACAAUCGUCAUAGCAAAGCAUGCACAGUUGACGGCGAGCUCCUCCAGCGCUGCAGCACCUCCUUCACCUCCUCCUUCAGCUGGUUCUCCGUUUGCAGCCGGCACAGCUCCUCCUGGGAGGGACGUGGGGUCAGAUCUAUUCUUGUCAUCCAGCUGUUUGUACAGGUUGCUGAUGUCCUCCUCGUAUUUGCUCCGCUCGUUGCAACAAUAUUAUUUGACUUUUCUUUC